rnacentral:rRNA from 1 species
CAGUCGCCACGGUAAUACGUAGGGCGCGAGCGUUAAUCGGAAUUACUGGGCGUAAAGCGUGCGCAGGCGGUUGUGUAAGACAGGUGUGAAAUCCCCGGGCUUAACCUGGGAACUGCGCUUGUGACUGCACAGCUAGAGUAUGGCAGAGGGGGGUGGAAUUCCACGUGUAGCAGUGAAAUGCGUAGAGAUGUGGAGGAACACCGAUGGCGAAGGCAGCCCCCUGGGCCAAUACUGACGCUCAUGCACGAAAGCGUGGGGAGCAAACAGGAUUAGAUACCCGGGUAGUCCCUGUCUCUUAUAC